rnacentral:rRNA from 1 species
UAGUAACGGCGAGUGAAGCGGCAACAGCUCAAAUUUGAAAUCUGGCCCUUGUGGUCCGAGUUGUAAUUUGUAGAGGAUGCUUUUGGUGAGGUACCUUCCGAGUUCCCUGGAACGGGACGCCAUAGAGGGUGAGAGCCCCGUCUGGUUGGAUACCGAUCCUCUGUAAAGCUCCUUCGACGAGUCGAGUAGUUUGGGAAUGCUGCUCUAAAUGGGAGGUAUAUGUCUUCUAAAGCUAAAUAUUGGCCAGAGACCGAUAGCGCACAAGUAGAGUGAUCGAAAGAUGAAAAGCACUUUGAAAAGAGGGUUAAAUAGUACGUGAAAUUGUUGAAAGGGAAGCGCUUGUGACCAGACUUGGGCUUGGUUAAUCAUCCAGGGUUCUCCCUGGUGCACUUGGCCAGCCCAGGCCAGCAUCAGUUUGUCGCGGGGGAUAAAGGCGUUGGGAAUGUGGCUCCCCCGGGAGUGUUAUAGCCCUUCGUGUAAUACCCUGCUUUAGACUGAGGUUCGCGCAUCUGCAAGGAUGCUGGCGUAAUGGUCAUCAGCGACCCGUCUUGAAACACGGACCAAGGAGUCGUCUUCGUAUGCGAGUGUUCGGGUGUCAAACCCCUACGCGUAAUGAAAGUGAACGCAGGUGAGAGCUUCGGCGCAUCAUCGACCGAUCCUGAUGUUCUCGGAUGGAUUUGAGUAAGAGCAUACGGGGCCGGACCCGAAAGAAGGUGAACUAUGCCUGUGUAGGGUGAAGCCAGAGGAAACUCUGGUGGAGGCUCGCAGCGGUUCUGACGUGCAAAUCGAUCGUCAAACA